rnacentral:rRNA from 1 species
UAAGGAAUAUUGGACAAUGGAGGCAACUCUGAUCCAGCCAUGCCGCGUGAAGGAAUAAGGCCCUAUGGGUUGUAAACUUCUUUUAGACGGGACAAAACCCCUUUACGUGUAAAGGGUUGAUGGUACUGUCAGAAUAAGCAUCGGCUAACUUCGUGCCAGCAGCCGCGGUAAUACGAAGGAUGCAAGCGUUAUACGGAAUUAUUGGGUUUAAAGGGUGCGUAGGCGGACUAAUAAGUCAGUGGUGAAAGCCUGCAGCUUAACUGCAGAAUUGCCAUUGAUACUGUUAAUCUUGAGUACAGUUGAGGUAGGCGGAAUGUGUCAUGUAGCGGUGAAAUGCUUAGAUAUGACACAGAACACCGAUUGCGAAGGCAGCUUGCUAAGCUGUAACUGACGCUGAGGCACGAAAGCGUGGGGAGCAAACA